rnacentral:rRNA from 1 species
GUUAUAUGGUCAAGUGAAGAAGCGCAUACGGUGGAUGCCUUGGCAGUCAGAGGCGAUGAAAGACGUGGUAGCCUGCGAUAAGCUUUGGGGAGUCGGCAAACAGACUGUGAUCCAGAGAUCUCUGAAUGGGGGAACCCACUCAGCAUAAGCUGAGUAUCUUGUACUGAAUACAUAGGUGCAAGAGGCGAACCAGGGGAACUGAAACAUCUAAGUACCCUGAGGAAAAGAAAUCAA